AGCGAACGCUGGCGGCAGGCCUAACACAUGCAAGUCGAACGGACCCUUCGGGGUUAGUGGCGGACCGGUGAGUAACACGUGGGAACGUGCCUUUAGGUUCGGAAUAGCUCCUGGGAACGGGUGGUAAUGCCGAAUGUGCCCUUCGGGGGAAAGAUUUAUCGCCCUUAGAGCGGCCCGCGUCUGAUUAGCUAGUUGGUGAGGUAAUGGCUCACCAAGGCGACGAUCAGUAGCUGGUCUGAGAGGAUGACCAGCGACAUUGGGACUGAGACACGGCCCAAACUCCUACGGGAGGCAGCAGUGGGGAAUCUUGCGCAAUGGGUGAAAGCCUGACGCAGCCAUGCCGCGUGGAUGAUGAAGGUCUUAGGAUUGUAAAAUCCUUUCACCGGUGAAGAUAAUGACUGUAGCCGGAGAAGAAGCCCCGGCUAACUUCGUGCCAGCAGCCGCCGUAACAC
rnacentral:rRNA from 1 species